rnacentral:tRNA from 1 species
UAUAUUUUAAUGUUAUAGAAGCAUGAAAAUUUUUGAAAUUUUUUGAAAUAGUUAAAAUCUAUUAGAUAUAA